rnacentral:rRNA from 1 species
UACGUAGGGGGCCAGCGUUGCUCGGAAUUACUGGGCGUAAAGGGUCCGUAGGCGGUGUGGCAAGUCGGGAGUGAAAUCUCUGGGCUUAACCCAGAGGCUGCUUCCGAAACUGCCAUGCUAGAGUGUGAGAGAGGCGAGUGGAAUUACGGGUGUAGCGGUGAAAUGCGUAGAUAUCCGUAGGAACAUCCGAGGCGAAGGCGGCUCGCUGGAUCACAACUGACGCUGAGGGACGAAAGCUAGGGGAGCAAACAGG